ACGGAAGGCAGCAGUGAGGAAUAUUGGUCAAUGGACGGAAGUCUGAACCAGCCAAGUCGCGUGCGGGAUGAAGGCCCUACGGGUCGUAAACCGCUUUUGUACGGGGAUAAAGUCACCCACGUGUGGGUGUUUGUAGGUACCGUAAGAAUAAGGAUCGGCUAACUCCGUGCCAGCAGCCGCGGUAAUACGGAGGAUCCGAGCGUUAUCCGGAUUUAUUGGGUUUAAAGGGAGCGUAGGCGGGCCUUUAAGUCAGUGGUAAAAGCGUGUGGCUCAACCAUACCACGCCAUUGAAACUGGAGGCCUUGAGUGCACACAGGGAUGCUGGAAUUCGUCGUGUAGCGGUGAAAUGCUUAGAUAUGACGAAGAACUCCGAUCGCGAAGGCAGGUGUCCGGGGUGUAACUGACGCUGAGGCUCGAAAGUGCGGGUAUCAAACAGGAUUAGAUACCCUGGUA
rnacentral:rRNA from 1 species